UACGAAGGGGGCGAGCGUUGUUCGGAUUUACUGGGCGUAAAGGGCGCGUAGGCGGCCCUCCUAGUCGCGUGUUGAAAGCCCCGGGCUCAAACCUGGGAAUUGCGCGCGAAACGGGGGGGCUUGAGUUCGGGAGAGGAGCGUGGAAUUCCCAGUGAUAGAGGUGAAAUUCGUAGAUAUUGGGAAGAACACCGGUGGCGAAGGCGGCGCUCUGGACCGAGACUGACGCUGAGGCGCGAAAGCGUGGGGAGCAAACAGG
rnacentral:rRNA from 1 species